CUAGGCCUUUAAGUUGUAUCUAUGGAUCUCACAUUCGCCGCUGUUAUCCAGCCUAACACAUGCAAGUCGAACGGUACAGGAAGCAGCUUGCUGCUUUGCUGACGAGUGGCGGACGGGUGAGUAAUGUCUGGGAAACUGCCUGAUGGAGGGGGAUAACUACUGGAAACGGUAGCUAAUACCGCAUAACGUCGCAAGACCAAAGAGGGGGACCUUCGGGCCUCUUGCCAUCGGAUGUGCCCAGAUGGGAUUAGCUAGUAGGUGGGGUAACGGCUCACCUAGGGCGACGAUCCCUAGCUGGUCUGAGAGGAUGACCAGCCACACUGGAACUGAGACACGGUCCAGACUCCUACGGGAGGCAGCAGUGGGGAAUAUUGCACAAUGGGCGCAAGCCUGAUGCAGCCAUGCCGCGUAGUAUGAAGAAGGGCCUUCGGGUUGUAAAGGUACUUUUCAGCGGGGGCAGGAAGGCGAUAAGUGUUAAAUAACCUUUGGUCGAUUGGACGUUUACCCGGCAGAAAGAAAGGCACCGGGCUAAAACCUUCCGUUGGCCCAAGCCAGCCGGCCGGGUUAAAUACCGGACAGGGUGCCCAAGGCCGUUAAACUCGGAAUUA
rnacentral:rRNA from 1 species